rnacentral:rRNA from 1 species
CGUGUCUUUCAAGUAUCUGCUUUAUCAACUUUCGAUGGUAGGGUAUCUGCCUACCAUGGUGGUGACGGAUAACGGAGGAUCAGGGUUCGACUCCGGAGAAGGGGCCUGAGAAAUGGCCACUACGUCUAAGGAUGGCAGCAGGCGCGCAAAUUACCCACUCUCAGAAUUUGGAGGAGGUAGUGACGAGAAAUAACGAGGUUGAUCUCUUCUGAGGCCAACCAUCGGAAUGGGUACAAUUUAAACCCUUUAACGAGUAUCUAUGAGAGGGCAAGUCUGGUGCCAGCAGCCGCGGUAAUUCCAGCU